rnacentral:lncRNA from 1 species
AGAGACGUAAGAUCAGCGGAGAGCGCGCUAGGCAAGUACGGCGAAUUUUGCGUCUUUGCGUGGCUUGUGGGCCCUGUGCUUUUUCACGCCUUGAUUCUCUUAAGGAAUAAAGACCAUUUUUUUUGCAAGGAGGGAAAGGCCGCUGAUUUCAGGAUCAGCGGGAACCCCAGCCCGUCCUCUGUAACAGACGGCGUGGCGCAUCGGCUGGAACGACCCUGCGACGGGAGCGCUCCUCUGAGAGCGUCCACUCGGAUGUGGCGGGAUGCAGGCGACCUGGGGAUUACAGGUGUGCUGCGCUCUGCUGCCUCCUCCGUGUACCUCAGGGUCCUGCAGUACUAUAUUCUGCAUGUGCUGUGCUGUGGACAAGAUUGGGAAGAACGGGCUGGUCUCAUGUAACGCACUGAGACCUCCAGAGGCAUAGUUAAGUCUUGUCCAGAAUUACUCGACUUCAUGCAUGGGCAGAGCACUAAUGACCUAGGGAUUCCUCCAACCCUUGACAGUUCUGAAAUAGUUUCCAAACAUCUGAAACUUCCGGACUUUUCCCCAGCUAGAAAUAAGUGUUUGUGUUUUUAAUUCUCUCCGUUUAGAGCCGAUUCAGCCCCAGAUAGGGAAAUUACAUAAUAUCAAAAGAGAGAGCCUUCAAAUCAGCAUCCUAAAUAAAGUAACUUCCUUUCUCCUGGGUGGUCAAGUAAGUUUGAUUCCUGCCUCAGUUGUUCUAUUUGCUAUUAUUUACUUCCAUUAAGGUACUAGGUGGAAUUUUACAAAAAGUCUAGUGCCUGUUAACUGUAAUGAAAUGAAAAUAAUUCACAAUUUAGACACUUAAAGUAGACCAAUAAAAAGCUUUUUAUGGCAGACACAGUGGUAGACUAAAUUGUUAAGAACUCUGAGUUUAUAAUUUGCUAGAGUGAAGUGUCCUUAAGCAAUAAGUGGAAAAGAUUUGAUAAAGUCAGAAAAGCUUGACAUUUGUUUUAAAAUAUAGCAUAUAAAGUAGUAUGCAAAUUAGAAGCCUGCUACUGAUUAACCAGGGUGUUAACAAGUGAUUUAGCGAAGUGAAAUAAGCUGGAUGCAAAAGGGCAACUAUUCUGUGUUUCCACUUAUGUGAGGUACCUAGAGUGGCCAAACCCCUAGAGACAGAAAAAAUAGACUGUUAGUUGCCAGGGGCAAGAGGGGUAGGGGAGAAUGGGGAGCUAUUUUUUAAUGAGUAAAGAAUUUCAGUUUGGGAUGGUGAAAAAAGUUCUAGAGAUAGGCGGUGUUGAUGGUUGCACGACAAUGUGAGUGUUGUGAACUGUACACUUAAAAAUGGUUAAAAUUUUUGUAUAUUUUGCCACAAUAAAAAAAAUGAUUUAUAAAUUUAAUAUUGCUAGGGAAAAUGUAAAAUCCUAAUUGUUCAGCCUGUCUGUUUAAUAGCCUUGCCACAGACUGACUCCAGUUUUCAACCUCAUCACCAACUGUUGGGUAACUCUGGCUCUCCACUCCAGCUAAUCAUCAUUCUUCUGUUAAAUGCUAUAUAAUCCAGGGAAACAGAUUUGCUCACCUUUCCCUCCUCCAAACAUUUAUUCACAUCAUUUCCACAGGGAAUGUUUCCACUUACUUCUUUCUCUGGCUAUUCAAACCUUGCUCAUCCUUCUCUCUCAGUACCACUGCUACUGUAUUUUUUAAUCCUUCCUUAUUUUUCCUAAACAAUAGUAACAGCCUUUUAAUUUCUCUGCCUCUUAGCUGCCCCCUUAUCAGUUCAUCUUCAGUUGCCUUCAUCAUCAUUGCCUUUAAUAGCAGUUAUUGUAAAAUUUGGAUCUAAUCACGUUAGUUCCCUGCUUAAAAUCUUCAUCAACUUCCACGUUGUCUUCAGGAUAAAAAUCUACAUUCUUUAACAUCUAUAAAGGACCUUUUAAAAUCAGACUCUUCCUAUAUGCCUUAGAAACUUCUUUCACUGCCUUUCAGCCUUCGCUUCAGCCACCCUGAACUACUUCAUGCUCCUUGAAAGAGGUGUGUUCUCUCACUAAACUGAUCCAUUGCAAAAUGUGUUCCCCUCCCUUGCACUUGAAUCCUACCCAUCCAUUAAAUUCAGUGCAUACAGCAUCACCUUUAGAAAACCAUCCUUGACCUCCCUGCUCUAAAGCAGGAGUCCCUCUGAGGUUUUAUCACAUCAGCCUGUGCUUGCAUCUAUUAUAACACUCAUUGCUUUAUUUCUGCAAUUAUCUGAUUAUCUGUUCAUUAGUAGAUUAUGGUUUUGAAUCUCCUGUUCCGUGCACAGCCCCUGAUAUAAUACAGUCAAUUCUCAAUUCUCAAUUUUUUGAAUGAUCAAAUGAAGCCCUGCCACUUCCAUGAAAUCUUCCCUGAACGAUGUAGCUGAUAGCAAUCUCUUCCUCCUCUAAAUCCUUAGUUACAGUGCUUGUUAUCACUCCACGACUAGUCAUCAGUGCUUCCUAGCAUGAUUCUCUUUCUUAACUAUUAUCAUUUAUCCCUCAUCGCUUCAGUGCUGCAUCUUCUUUGGCUUUGUCUUCAGAGGUGAUAAUUAGCUAAUGUGAUAAGCAGUGCAACUAAGAAAAGACUAAAACAACCCGCAUAGACUACUUUAUGUAUUCAGUAACAAACAUUUCAGAAUGUCCAUUAUUAGGUUACCUCCUUAACAUUUUCCAACAUACCAUGUUCCUUCAAAGCCCUGUGACUUUGUUAGCGCUGUUCCUUUUGCCUGGAAUGACUUUCCUUAUUGCUCAAAUACCAGAUGCCCUAGGCAAAGGUUGUUGCCUCUUGGUUCUUACCUGUAGAAUAGGAGUUAAAACGUCUUAUUUAGUUUUUCAUCUGUCUGUCUAACUAGAUUAUGAGUUCUUUAAGGACUAGGACUCAAGUUUAUUCCUCUUUGUUCUUUCUGCACGUAGCAUAGUGUCUGGAACUCAGAAAUGUUUGUUGAAGGAUAUAAGAAGGAAGUAGAGGCAGGGGAAAUAUUUUCGAUAGGCAAGUCAUAAUGAUAUAUCUCCCAAUAGGCCUACGUCUCCUUACAGUUUACUUAGCUGCCCUGAUCCUAGGAAUAUUCUCUAGAGUAUACUUAACUCCUCCUUAGGUUCUUCAGUUCUCUCACCUAGCUGAAGGAGACAAUCUUAUUACUCUCAGUGGUGGUUUGGGGGUCUUGAUUAAACGCUUAGCCUGUAUUUCAACAUCACAAACAUAUUCUAUACUUUUUCUUCUAUUUUAUAGUCAGUACUCUGUCCCGAGAAUCACGUUUAGGUCUUUAUUCUCUCUGGAAUACAUGCCUUUAUUUGGUGUAAGGUGGGGAUCUAGCCUAUUUUUUCUCCAAACAGCAGGCCAAUUCUUCUCUAUAAUUCUACUGAACAGUCUCUCCCUUCCACAUUGAUUUUCAAUGCCACCUUUAUCAUAUAUUCAUAUUUCCAUUUAUGUAUGGCUCUGGUUCUGACCUCUUUUUCAGUUGGUCUCUUUGUCCAUGAUGACGCCAGGACCAUGUUGUUUUUAUUUACCAUUGUCUUAUAGACUGUCUUAAUAUGUCAUAGUGAAAAAUCCCUCCCCUUUGCUCUUGUCUUUCAAAUUUGACUUAGCUAACUGUGAACCCUUGGUCUAAAUACUUCCUAGAACAAGAUUGUUGAGCUUAGC